UGUGAGGUGCUGGCGUCUCCGAGGCUCCACCAGCAAGCUCCCUCCUGGCGCGUCUCUCGGCGGAAUCUCUGAGGAGUGUGUCACGGUACUGUAUAAAGGAAGCGGUCUUGAUUCCAAGUUAAUUGAGUUGUGGAGUUAGCCUGACUGAAGGAAUAAUAAACCCGACAUGCUCCGCGAAGUCUUUCUCUCUCAGCGGGCUAAUUAGUGGCUCCUGGCGGCGAGGAGGAAGGAAGAGGAACUAUACUCGGAAUGUCUGGGUGAUAUUCAAGUCUAUGUAGACCGGAACCGAAUCAAGCUCGACUCACCGAACCAUCUGCGCGAGUGCAUUCGAAUCAGGAGAUUGCGCCGAUUCUAGUGAGGGCCCGUGUCACGUCCGCUCUUCAGCCAGGUACGCCCGUCACGCAUCAGGUGGAGCAGGCUGGCGUCCCCUUCACCUGGCGAGCCAUUAACACCUCCGCGCCAAGGUGGGCCUGCAAGAUAAACA